rnacentral:tRNA from 1 species
UCCCUGGUGGCUCAGACGGUAAAGCGUCUGCCUGCAAUGCGGGAGACCCGGGUUCAAUUCCCGGGUCGGGGAG